rnacentral:piRNA from 1 species
UNGAGGCCUUCCGCCAGAAUCUGCUGC